rnacentral:lncRNA from 1 species
AGAUAGGAGUUCACCAGGAGCUUAGUUGCCAUUCUGAGAAUCUGAGCGACUUCAGAUGAAAAGAAGUUUUAUGAAACAUUUCUACAAAAUUUCUUGGCUAAGGUGUUAUACAUAGAAAACUACACAUAUGUCUAUUGAUUUUGUUUUUGAAUUGAUAAAACCCAAAGCAAAGCUCAAUAAUGGCUGUCUCCAUGUUUUAAACUGCUAGCAAGACACUCAGACCCACAGAAAGCACAAUAUCAGUGUUAGUUAAAUUGAACUAAACACAAAAUCUCUACCUCAUAACAACCAGUAGUCAAUCUAUUUGAUAUAAGAAAAUAUUUAAGAAUCCCUAUGUGAUCUGAAUUACAAUUUUUACUUCCAUUUUGAAUUCCAGUUCAUCUAACAGAUUCCUUCCACUCUGAAGUUCCCUUAGUUCCACAUUCCUCAUGCUAUUCCUUUGUUCAGAAAUCUACAAAGGCUGUCUUUUGCCUGUCUCAUAUAUAAACACUUUUUCUUAGCUUUCAAAGUCUUUAAUAAUCUAACCUACCAUAACCAGCCAGCUUAAGAGUAGACACGCAGGGGGGAAUAUUUGAGUGUGAAUAGAAGGAAAGAGAAACAAUAGAAUACUUUUGUGAAACGCAGGGGGGAAUAUUUGAGCAUGAAUAGAAGGAAAGAGAAACAGUAGAAUACUUUUGUGAAAAUUUUGUGGCUUUAAAAUGCUUGGCGUGAGUCAUGUGUAAUUGUUUCUAACUCCCCGAGUGAUACGUCUGUGCCUUGUUAGUCUGUAAGAAAAACAUGAAUUUUCUGACCAACUCUUACUUACUUUCUCUAUCUCCCUUCAUGUACUUAGUCACUCUGUGUGGACAUCCUGGCUGAUCUCCAUUAGUGGAAAUAUUCAUGUCUACCUCCAAAUUGUUUUGUCCUUAGACAUUUUUCUGACUCAUGUCUCUGAUAUUCUUCAGUCAACACAUUUGGACUACUUGGGCUAUGAACAAGGAUAUGAAGAAUGGAACUGCCAUAAACUCAAGUACAAUAUAAUUAACAAAAAUGAAAUGGAGAGAUAACAUUACAGUGAGGGUAAGGUGCUGUCUACUCAGGAAACAUAAAGCCCAAAUUUGAUUCAGAAUUUAUAUUAACUCCUAGAGUUUCUUUGAAUUAAGAAUGUCGGUUCUGAAACAAAAUUAUUGGGUCCAAGUGAGCAUUUCCAAAUAUAGGUCAGAGAAAUGAUAGGUGAGACUGGAGACUGAUUCUUCUUUCUGAUACUUUGUUGUUGUUGUUACCAAAUUACUAUCGUUUAGUCAACAAGCCUACACUGGAAGUCCAAGGUACUUUCCAUACAAUUGCAAUCUAGUAUUCAUAUAGUAAAAUUUUAGAUGAAGGCAAAUAAAGGAACACUACUGCAUGAAUCUACAGCUCCGUUGGUUGGCAGCAUGAAGUUAAACUAGCAAAACAGCCUUUAAUUCACUACCAUCCUAACAUGAUGUUUUUUUCCAUCCAUUCUGGCUCUUUGUGCUGUGGAUUAUGGAGAGAUAUCAUAGCCAUGGCACGUGGGCUCCUCUCACUUCUUUUCUGAUUACCUUUGAAGGUCUUAGUUGUGUGUGGAAGUCAUCUAUUAAGUCACCCAGGUUUGGUUAGCUUUAGGCUUUAGCAUUUUUCCCCUACACCAUUUGACCAUUACUAUGGUAUCUCCAAGUCUCCAAGAUUCAAUAGAGAUUUCCUUGUUGAAAAUUGGUAUUGUUGAUCAUUUAUCUCCCAGAAUUUCUGCUUUCACAUAAUUCUUGACUUUUUGUAAACUCUCCCGUGUCAUUAAAAAUAUGUUUUUUUCUGAGUAUUUUAGAAUUUUAGUUAGGGGAGUCUUUCAUAAUUCCUAGACCACCCACCCUGCUGGACACAGAAGCCAGGUUCCCCUUAUGCUUCAGUUCGUGAAGAAUGAUUAUUUUGGACCAAAGUCUAUCUAAGAACAUUUCAAAAAAGUGAUUAAGAACUGGCACCCUUAAAAUUUAGGUGUUCUUAAUGAACAUUUAGGUGUUGGCUAGAACACCCAAAUUUUAAUAAUGACUUCAUAAAAUGGCUCUUUUAACUUGAGAAUUGUUCUCUUUAAGCUUUAGUUUCCUCAUUUGUAAAAUGGGAAUAAUAGUAACAUUACCUGCUUCAUAUGAUUAUUGUAAAGACUAGAUAUGUAUAAUGAAAAAUGUGAGUGGGAAAUAAAGCGGGUUUAAAGAUGGUGGUUGAUAUUAUAUUUUAUUUAUCUCCAACGGCAGCACCACUACCUUUUGCUCCUAAUGCUAGAAACAGGCAGACUUCCUAAAGCAAAGGAGGCUUUGUUUUGCUGCUUCUUUCACCAUGUAUUGGAAAUUACUUAAAAGGAACAUUACUUAAAAGGAAACAAAAGUUAAAAAAAAAAAAAAGAAAAACAGCAGCUAACAUUUACUGAAUAUUAGUUGUGCAUCAAAAUGCUAGUUAUUUUACAUUAAAUAUUGUUAAGUCCUCACAACAUUUCUCUAAAGCAUAUUUUAUCUUUCCCCAUUAUAGAUAAAGAAACUGAGACUCAGGCAGGUUAAGUAAUUUGUUCAGAGUAACACAGUUAGAAGUAAAUAGAGACAAUUUGACUUUUGAGGUUGUACUCCUAAUUAAUAUGCUAGAACUGCAAUGUCAAGGGUCAAAGUCAAGGGUCACAUAAAGAAUUUGUGUGAAUACUCAUAUUAGAAUGUUCUUACUCUUUGAUAUUCACUCCUCCUUCACCAAUAUUAUGGCUGGCAGAAUCCUACUGGUAUUUGAAAUUGCCUUGCCUCUCUGAAGUUUUUCCAAAGGCGAACAGAAUUAAAUAUCUCCUGUUUGCUCUCAUAGCACACUGCAAAAGCUUUAUGGAAGCACACAUCACUAUGUUUACUUAUUCCUCCCUUUUUCUCUAUCCUAUGACCUUCCUGAGUACAGAAAGUACUGUACUGUACUGAGUACAGAAAGUACACACCUACUUGAUUAUUAUUAUUGUUAUUGCUGUUAUUGUUAUUAUUUUGAUCACUGGAGAUGCACACAAUACUUGCUGUUUCGGACUGGCUCAGUAUCUGAUUUUGAAAUGGAUGAUCUAUUUCAAAGUUAUUUUUCACACAAUUAAAUACUUUACAAAAAUCCAAGAACUUCUGACUUCUAAUUCUUCACAAUUGACUAUGGAUUUUUGAAAUUUGUUUGCUUCUACGUAUACCCAAUUCUGCUGUAUAUUGGCAGCCUUUCAAGGUUUGGGAACAAAACCUUGUCUAUUUGUGUUACACUGGUCCCCAGAUCACCAUAGGUUCCCAAUAAAUCUUCAUUCUAAUCAGCUUUUGAAAAUGGGGCUUCAAGCUUUACUGCAGUCAGUUAUGUAGAUGGCUGUAACCAGGGCCUUCUCUUUAGGUACAACCACCUUUCCAGAAUUGCUUUUCUUUCCUCAGCUCCAUUUACAAGGCUGCAGCUUUCCAGAACCAUAUGUUGCAGCUGAAUUGUGCUUUCCCCUAGUAGUAGGAUAUCAAUUUUUUUUAAC